rnacentral:rRNA from 1 species
CUAAUGAGACUGCCGGUGACAAACCGGAGGAAGGUGGGGAUGACGUCAAGUCCUCAUGGCCCUUAUAGGUGGGGCUACACACGUCAUACAAUGGAUGGUACAAAGGGUCGCCAACCCGCGAGGGGGAGCCAAUCCCAUAAAGCCAUUCGUAGUCCGGAUCGCAGUCUGCAACUCGACUGCGUGAAGUCGGAAUCGCUAGUAAUCGUGGAUCAGAAUGUCACGGUGAAUACGUUCCCGGGUCUU